GCCAGGCAUGGUGGUGUGUGCCUGUAAUCCCAGCUACUCAGGAGGCUGAGGCACGAGAAUCACUUGAACCCAGGGGGUGAAGGUUGCAGUGAGCCGAGGUCACGCCACUGCACUCCAGCCUGGGUGACAAAGUGAGACCCUGUCUCAA
rnacentral:SRP_RNA from 1 species